ensembl:lncRNA
AUGAAACAGUCUAAAUUGGUAGAGAUGUUACACUCCUGCACAUGCCCUUAUGCUUGUUUUUGGCAUUUCUUUCACCAAAGGCACUGGAUAGGAGAAGGAAGGGAGGAGAGUAAACAAGACCGGAAAAAAGAGAAGAGAGAUGAAUGCUGAUUUGGCUACUUGGGGAUCUAGUUUGUGAAGUUUCUCAGUGGAUCUGAGGACCACAGUGUUUGGAAACCACAGGUGUGGAUAGAGGAAAAGUAUUCAGAAAAGCCAAAGAAUUGAUGCUUUUGAACAGUGGUGCUGGAAAAGACUCUGGAGAGUCUCUUGGACUGCAAGAAGAUUCUAUCAGUCCAUCCUAAAGGAAAUCAGUCCUAAAUAUUCAUUGGAAGGACUGAUGCUGAAGCUGAAACUCCUGUACUUUGGCCACCUGAUGUAAAGAACUGACUCACUGGAAAAAACCCUGAUGCUGGGAAACACUGAAGGCAGGAGGAGAAGGGGACAACAGAGGAUGAGAUGGUUGGAUGGCAUCACUGACUCAAUGGAUAUCAGUUUGAGUCAACUCUGGUAGUUUGUGAUGGACAGGGAGGCCAGGUGUGCUGGAGUCCAUGGGGUUGCAAAGAGUUGGACACAACUGAGUGACCGAACUGAUGCAGAUGAAGUCAAUCAUCAUCAAGAUGAGUAGUUUAAUCACAACAGUGGUGAUUUUGCUUGGGCCACACCCUAGCAUUACCAGGACAUUUUAAACACCUGGACAGCACCCAAACCAAUUAAAUCAGAAUCUGGAGGUGGUUCCAAGUGUCAGUAUUUCAAAAGCUCUGGAAAUGGUGCAGUGCGUAAAUAAGGCUGAGCACCCAUGAACUAAGGUAGGUUUAAAUUCCACAUUUUAAUUUUUUUUUUUUUAGAAAAAUGCUUCUAAGGUUUUAGAUGAUGGCAAAUUGACAUAAAAAUAGCACAUUAAGAAGAACAUUGUGAGAAGUGUGCUUAACUGACCCAGUGUUAUCUUUCGCUGCCCUUUUUUAUAUGGAUGAAUAAAGACAGAUAGGAGUUAAUUGCUCUUCA